rnacentral:rRNA from 1 species
UUUCCGGUUGAUCCUGCCGCCGGCCACCGCUAUCAAGUUCCGACUAAGCCAUGCGAGUCAAGGUAUCGUAAGAUGCCGGCAAACUGCUCAGUAACACGUGGAUAAUCUAACCUUGAGUAAGGGAUAACCUCGGGAAACUGAGGAUAAUACCUUAUAAUUGCUUAAAACUGGAAUGUUUAAGCAAUAAAAGUUCCGACGCUCGAGGAUGAGUCUGCGACCUAUCAGGUAGUAGGUGGUGUAAUGGACCACCUAGCCUCAGACGGGUACGGGCCCUGGGAGGGGUAGCCCGGAGAUGGACUCUGAGACACAAGUCCAGGCCCUACGGGGCGCAGCAGGCGCGAAAACUGUGCAAUGCGCGAAAGCGCGACACGGGAAACCUGAGUGCCUUGACAUUGUCAAGGCUUUUCUUAAGCCUAAAAAGCUUAAGGAAUAAGAGCUGGGCAAGACGGGUGCCAGCCGCCGCGGUAACACCCGCAGCUCGAGUGGUGGUCACUUUUAUUGAGCCUAAAGCGUUUGUAGCCGGUUUUGCAAAUCUUCAGAUAAAUUCCUCUGCUUAACAGAUGAUCUUCUGAAGAGACUGCAAGACUUGAGAUCGGGUGAGGUUAAACGUACUUUCAGGGUAGGGGUAAAAUCCUGUAAUCCCGGAAGGACGACCAGUGGCGAAAGCGUUUAACUAGAACGAAUCUGACGGUAAGGAACGAAGGCUAGGGUAGCAAACCGGAUUAGAUACCCGGGUAGUCCUAGCUGUAAACACUGCCCAUUUGAUGUUGCUUUUCCGUUGAGGGAAGGCAGUGUCGGAGCGAAGGUGUUAAAUGGGCCGCUUGGGAAGUAUGGUCGCAAGACUGAAACUUAAAGGAAUUGGCGGGGGAGCACCGCAACGGGAGGAAUGUGCGGUUUAAUUGGAUUCAACGCCGGA